UGCCACUGCCACAGGAUGCAGUGUAAUGGGGGAAACAGAAGAUACUGUGUUGACAGCUGACAUGGAUUUGUUUGUCGCUCAAAGAACCAAUGUGCCCGGAUGUUUCGAUACUAAAAAGCUGGUGGCUGUUCAUCAAUACCGACCAAGUUCACAGUUGUCAUCUCUACCACUCUGCCUUCCACCUGACCAUGACACGCACCACUGACUCAAUCGAAAGGGCCGCUGGUACCAAAUCACCAUGAAGGAAAAUGAGUCUUAGCCACUGGCGAGGAACUUUGCUUCCUCGAUGGCCGAGAGGACGAGUGGAUCCGUGUGACGUGCACCUUCAACAAAAACGUCAUCAGAGACACAGUCUGCCAGGUCCACCGUAACGGUCCUCUGUUUGAUGUUCCCCUCAAGCCGAAUUCAAAACCAUUCUCCAUCCUCUGCCUCCGAGAAGAUUACAACACUAGCAAAACGAAUGAAGUUGGUUAUUGCAUAUGUGUAGAGUCACGUGAUGGGAAUUCUGCAUGUACAUUAACGUUGAACACAACUCAGCUAGAAA